UGGGGAAUUUUGGACAAUGGGCGCAAGCCUGAUCCAGCCAUGCCGCGUGCGGGAAGAAGGCCUUCGGGUUGUAAACGCUUUGUCAGGGAAGAAAUCUUCUGAGUUAAUACCUCGGGAGGAUGACGGUACCUGAAGAAUAAGCACCGGCUAACUACGUGCCAGCAGCCGCGGUAAUACGUAGGGUGCAAGCGUUAAUCGGAAUUACUGGGCGUAAGGCGUGCGCAGGCGGUUUUGUAAGACAGAGGUGAAAUCCCCGGGCUCAACCUGGGAACUGCCUUUGUGACUGCAAGGCUUGAGUGCGGCAGAGGGGGGAUGGAAUUCCGCGUGUAGGCAGUGAAAUGCGUAGAUAUGCGGAGGAACACCGAUGGCGAAGGCAAUCCCCCUGGGGCCUGCACUGACGCUCAUGCACGAAAGCGUGGGGAGCAAACAGGAUUAGAUACCCUGGUAGUCCACGCCCUAAACGAUGUCAACUGGUUGUUGGG
rnacentral:rRNA from 1 species